rfam:Stegodyphus mimosarum contig38702, whole genome shotgun sequence.
GCCUUCGUGGUGGAACGGUAGCACACUCGGCGCGUAUUCAAGAGGCCCAGGUUCGAGUCCCGGAGAGGGCA